ACGACUGUUUCAUGGGCUGUGAAGGUGGGAAUGAUUAUGAUGACAACCGCUUGCCCAUGCAUUAACAACAGAGUAACCUCAAAGCCUCCUCCCACAUCAUCAUUUGACAUUUUUCAAGGAGUGAACAUGGUCGACAAGAAGAUCUGAACAAGCUGACUAUGUGAAGGGAGCCUGAACAACGAUAACAUCAUCAGUUGGACAACGUGAGGUGGCACGGUGGUUCAGUAGUUCGCACUACAGCCUCACAGGGCCAGGGACCCAGGUUCGAUUCCAGCCUCAGGUAUGCAGGCCCAAAACAUGCCGUACCUAUACAGGCUAGUUAUUGACCAUUGUCAGCAUGAACCUGUUGCAACUGGAGGCAGUCAAAGCACAUGAUUGUGUGCCAGAUGAACUGCUGAGGAAAUGGGAGGAAGAAAAGACACCCCUGUGCCAACACAGUAGCCUGACUUGAGCCAACAGAGUGUUGGGGAUAUGUGACAAUAAUAAAGGGCAACACUGCAUUGGAGGACUGCUGCACGUCCAAGAAGUGGAUC